rnacentral:rRNA from 1 species
AACGAACGCUGGCGGCAGGCCUAACACAUGCAAGUCGAGCGAGGACUCCGGAUCUAGCGGCGGACGGGUGAGUAAAGCGUGGGAAUGUGCCCUUAUCUACGGAAUAGUCCUGGGACACUGGGAGUAAUACCGUAUAAGUCCCAUUGGGGCAAGAUUUAUCGGAGAAGGAUCAGCCUGGGUUGGUUUCGGUGGUCGGUAGGGGAUUAGCCUAUCAAGCCGACGCUCCAUAGCGGAUUUGAGAGAAUGGUUAGCCACACUGAGGCUGAGACACGGCCGAGACUCCUACGGGAGGCAGCAGAGGCGAAUCUAGGACAAUGGGGUCAACCAUGAUCUACCCAUGCCGGUAGAGUCAUGUAGUCCUUAGGGUUGAAAAGCACUUUCAGCUGCGGAUGUAAUGACGGUACCAAAAGAAGAAGCCCCGGCUAACUCCGUG